GACGAACGCUGGCGGCGUGCCUAAUACAUGCAAGUAGAACGCUGAAGGAGGAGCUUGCUUCUCUGGAUGAGUUGCGAACGGGUGAGUAACGCGUAGGUAACCUGCCUGUUAGCGGGGGAUAACUAUUGGAAACGAUAGCUAAUACCGCAUAAGAGUAGAUGUUGCAUGACAUUUGCUUAAAAGGUGCAAUUGCAUCACUACCAGAUGGACCUGCGUUGUAUUAGCUAGUUGGUGGGGUAACGGCUUACCAAGGCGACGAUACAUAGCCGACCUGAGAGGGGGGUCGGCCACCCUGGGACUGGGACACGGCCCAGACUCCUACGGGAGGCAGCAGUAGGGGAUCUUCGGCAAUGGACGGAAGGCUUACCGAGCAACGCCGCGUGAGUGAAGAAGGUUUUCGGAUCGUAAAGCUCUGUUGUAAGAGAAGAACGAGUGUGAGAGUGGAAAGUUCACACUGUGACGGUAUCUUACCAGAAAGGGACGGCUAACUACGUG
rnacentral:rRNA from 1 species